rnacentral:rRNA from 1 species
ACUAAGCGUACACGGUGGAUGCCCUGGCAGUCAGAGGCGAUGAAGGACGUGCUAAUCUGCGAUAAGCGUCGGUAAGGUGAUAUGAACCGUUAUAACCGGCGAUUUCCGAAUGGGGAAACCCAGUGUGUUUCGACACACUAUCAUUAACUGAAUCCAUAGGUUAAUGAGGCGAACCGGGGGAACUGAAACAUCUAAGUACCCCGAGGAAAAGAAAUCAACCGAGAUUCCCCCAGUAGCGGCGAGCGAACGGGGAGCAGCCCAGAGCCUGAAUCAGUAUGUGUGUUAGUGGAAGCGUCUGGAAAGGCGCGCGAUACAGGGUGACAGCCCCGUACACAAAAAUGCACAUGCUGUGAGCUCGAUGAGUAGGGCGGGACACGUGGUAUCCUGUCUGAAUAUGGGGGGACCAUCCUCCAAGGCUAAAUACUCCUGACUGACCGAUAGUGAACCAGUACCGUGAGGGAAAGGCGAAAAGAACCCCGGCGAGGGGAGUGAAAAAGAACCUGAAACCGUGUACGUACAAGCAGUGGGAGCACGCUUAGGCGUGUGACUGCGUACCUUUUGUAUAAUGGGUCAGCGACUUAUAUUCUGUAGCAAGGUUAACCGAAUAGGGGAGCCGAAGGGAAACCGAGUCUUAACUGGGCGUUAAGUUGCAGGGUAUAGACCCGAAACCCGGUGAUCUAGCCAUGGGCAGGUUGAAGGUUGGGUAACACUAACUGGAGGACCGAACCGACUAAUGUUGAAAAAUUAGCGGAUGACUUGUGGCUGGGGGUGAAAGGCCAAUCAAACCGGGAGAUAGCUGGUUCUCCCCGAAAGCUAUUUAGGUAGCGCCUCGUGAAUUCAUCUCCGGGGGUAGAGCACUGUUUCGGCAAGGGGGUCAUCCCGACUUACCAACCCGAUGCAAACUGCGAAUACCGGAGAAUGUUAUCACGGGAGACACACGGCGGGUGCUAACGUCCGUCGUGAAGAGGGAAACAACCCAGACCGCCAGCUAAGGUCCCAAAGUCAUGGUUAAGUGGGAAACGAUGUGGGAAGGCCCAGACAGCCAGGAUGUUGGCUUAGAAGCAGCCAUCAUUUAAAGAAAGCGUAAUAGCUCACUGGUCGAGUCGGCCUGCGCGGAAGAUGUAACGGGGCUAAACCAUGCACCGAAGCUGCGGCAGCGACGCUUAUGCGUUGUUGGGUAGGGGAGCGUUCUGUAAGCCUGUGAAGGUGUGCUGUGAGGCAUGCUGGAGGUAUCAGAAGUGCGAAUGCUGACAUAAGUAACGAUAAAGCGGGUGAAAAGCCCGCUCGCCGGAAGACCAAGGGUUCCUGUCCAACGUUAAUCGGGGCAGGGUGAGUCGACCCCUAAGGCGAGGCCGAAAGGCGUAGUCGAUGGGAAACAGGUUAAUAUUCCUGUACUUGGUGUUACUGCGAAGGGGGGACGGAGAAGGCUAUGUUGGCCGGGCGACGGUUGUCCCGGUUUAAGCGUGUAGGCUGGUUUUCCAGGCAAAUCCGGAAAAUCAAGGCUGAGGCGUGAUGACGAGGCACUACGGUGCUGAAGCAACAAAUGCCCUGCUUCCAGGAAAAGCCUCUAAGCAUCAGGUAACAUCAAAUCGUACCCCAAACCGACACAGGUGGUCAGGUAGAGAAUACCAAGGCGCUUGAGAGAACUCGGGUGAAGGAACUAGGCAAAAUGGUGCCGUAACUUCGGGAGAAGGCACGCUGAUAUGUAGGUGAAGUCCCUCGCGGAUGGAGCUGAAAUCAGUCGAAGAUACCAGCUGGCUGCAACUGUUUAUUAAAAACACAGCACUGUGCAAACACGAAAGUGGACGUAUACGGUGUGACGCCUGCCCGGUGCCGGAAGGUUAAUUGAUGGGGUCAGCGCAAGCGAAGCUCUUGAUCGAAGCCCCGGUAAACGGCGGCCGUAACUAUAACGGUCCUAAGGUAGCGAAAUUCCUUGUCGGGUAAGUUCCGACCUGCACGAAUGGCGUAAUGAUGGCCAGGCUGUCUCCACCCGAGACUCAGUGAAAUUGAACUCGCUGUGAAGAUGCAGUGUACCCGCGGCAAGACGGAAAGACCCCGUGAACCUUUACUAUAGCUUGACACUGAACAUUGAGCCUUGAUGUGUAGGAUAGGUGGGAGGCUUUGAAGUGUGGACGCCAGUCUGCAUGGAGCCGACCUUGAAAUACCACCCUUUAAUGUUUGAUGUUCUAACGUUGACCCGUAAUCCGGGUUGCGGACAGUGUCUGGUGGGUAGUUUGACUGGGGCGGUCUCCUCCUAAAGAGUAACGGAGGAGCACGAAGGUUGGCUAAUCCUGGUCGGACAUCAGGAGGUUAGUGCAAUGGCAUAAGCCAGCUUGACUGCGAGCGUGACGGCGCGAGCAGGUGCGAAAGCAGGUCAUAGUGAUCCGGUGGUUCUGAAUGGAAGGGCCAUCGCUCAACGGAUAAAAGGUACUCCGGGGAUAACAGGCUGAUACCGCCCAAGAGUUCAUAUCGACGGCGGUGUUUGGCACCUCGAUGUCGGCUCAUCACAUCCUGGGGCUGAAGUAGGUCCCAAGGGUAUGGCUGUUCGCCAUUUAAAGUGGUACGCGAGCUGGGUUUAGAACGUCGUGAGACAGUUCGGUCCCUAUCUGCCGUGGGCGCUGGAGAACUGAGGGGGGCUGCUCCUAGUACGAGAGGACCGGAGUGGACGCAUCACUGGUGUUCGGGUUGUCAUGCCAAUGGCACUGCCCGGUAGCUAAAUGCGGAAGAGAUAAGUGCUGAAAGCAUCUAAGCACGAAACUUGCCCCGAGAUGAGUUCUCCCUGACUCCUUGAGAGUCCUGAAGGAACGUUGAAGACGACGACGUUGAUAGGCCGGGUGUGUAAGCGCAGCGAUGCGUUGAGCUAACCGGUACUAAUGAACCGUGAGGCUUAACC